AGAAGUGAUGUUUUGUUUCGAAGAUCUUUAGUCGUUUGGUCUUGAACUUUGUGCAGGAGCUUGUGUGGCACUCCUUGUGUUGCCAUAUGGUACUUCAUACACAUGCCAUAUGUUGGACAUACUGUGCUAUAGAAGACAUGCUUCUAAGGGACGAUAGCGCCAUAAUAUGGCAUCCAAUAGAAAAUACCACAGUUGUUUAGCUUUGUGCUGUUACCGAUAGAAAAAAAACUGUCUCUGUAUUAAGUACAGACAUAAUGUGGUACACACCUGGGCCGAAGCAAUGUCUAUGGACGCUCUGUUACAGAGGAGUACAAUUUGGAACUUGUAUGGAGAUGUCAUACUGGCAUAUGCAUGAGGCCUGAUGUAUAUCACUAAACCUCUUCAAAGAGCAAUAUGAAAUACCAAAGCCACAUAACCUAGACCAGUGGUGGAGAACCUAUGGCAUGGGUGCCAGAGGCAGCACUCAGAGCCCUCUCUGUGGGCAC